GUGUGGUUCUUGCUGUGUUUUUAGACAGAAUCAACGGUUUCUGGGUCUGAGAUGUUGCAUACAUCCUCUCAGUCCCUGUAUCCUGAGAUGGAGUCGCCUGAGAAUCCACAGCAAGUCCUAACCAGGGAUGGGUCUGGGUGAUUAAGGAAGGUUGGCUUCAGAACUGGGCCAGGGGCUUUGCUUUUGCUGUUUUGAUCAGCUCUCUGCCUGCAGGAGACAAGGAAAACCAAUGGGAACAGCUGGGGAAACUGAGUUACAGAGCUUAUCCGCACUGAGUCAACAGGAGCAAAUGCUAGAUCAGAUAGGGUCUGUCUCUCUGCCACCCAGGCCAGAGUGCAGUUGAUGCAGGGCAGGGGAGCCCCGAAGUGGAGCAUAGUGUGUCCGGAACUGGUGGGUUCUUGGUCUCACUGACUUCAAGAAUGAAGCUGCAGACCCUCGCG
rnacentral:lncRNA from 1 species